rnacentral:rRNA from 1 species
CGGCGGACGGGUGAGUAACGCGUGGGUAACCUGCCUUAUACAGGGAGAUAACAGUUAGAAAUGACUGCUAAUACCGCAUAAGCGCACAGUACCGCAUGGUACAGUGUGAAAAACUCCGGUGGUAUAAGAUGGACCCGCGUCUGAUUAGCCAGUUGGCGGGGUAAUGGCCCACCAAAGCGACGAUCAGUAGCCGACCUGAGAGGGUGACCGGCCACAUUGGGACUGAGACACGGCCCAAACUCCUACGGGAGGCAGCAG